AACUUUUGGCAAUGGAUCUCUUGGUUCUGGCAUCGAUGAAGAACGCAGCGAAAUGCUAUAAGUAAUGUGAAUAGCAGAAUUCAGUGAAUCAUCGAAUCUUUGAACGCACAUUGCGCCCCUUGGUAUUCCGAGGGGCAUGCCUGUUCGAGCGUCAUAUAAACACAUCCCGUAAGGGGUCUUGGGGCCCGCCUGACCGGCGGCCCUUAAAACCAGUGGCGGUGCCAUCUGGCUCUAAGCGUAGUAAUCUCUCUCGCUAUAGGGUCCUGGUGGAUGCUAGCCAGCAACCCCUAAUUUUCUAUGUUUGACCUCGGAUCAGGUAGGGAUACCCGCUGAACUUAAGCAUAUCAAUAAGCGGAGGCU
rnacentral:misc_RNA from 1 species